GCUAAGUUAGUUUAUUAAAAAUACCAGCCUGUGGAUUUGGAGAAGAAAAAUAAUUUCACUUAGUC
rnacentral:tRNA from 1 species